ensembl:lncRNA
CCGGAGAUCCCUGCCUACCUGAGGCCUUCUGAAGGUUUCUAACUUCUUCCAGAGCUGCUGAGAAGCAGAGGUUCCUGCACAAAUUGCUGUAGCUGUGAUACAGGCAGCUGUCACAUGGGCAGGGUGAGGAUGCUUCCUGCAGGAUGAGGUUACCCGGCUGAUGUGUGAAAACAAGCUAAGAGAGCUGGCAACAUUUCACCUUCAGUGCCAGAUGCUACUGCCUUUAUAUUGCCUCCAGAUCUGCAGUUUUAAGGGAAAGAGGUGACAAAAUAGCAAGUUCUGAUUUCUCUUGAAGGCUACUGUGGCUGUAAAUUCUGUCUGUAGCCACAUAAUGCAUUAGGAAACACAAUUCCACAAGGAGCCAAAGUCAGCCAAUUUGAGGCUGCUCUAAAGAACACAUAAUGCAAUUGUCCCAGCACACAGUAAACCAGUAGAUAGAAACAAACACCGUUGGACAACUUAGAAAAACAUGUUUUCUAUUUAUUUAAAAAUAAGUUUGUAGUUACUACAUUGCAGUGACAGUAAUUCUUACACAUACAUUCUAGUUUGUAUAAAAGGAUUCAAAGUAUUAUGCAUCAAAACUAACAUAGAAAGUGUCCACAUAACAGUAAAGAAAUUUCCAAUCCUUAUGUACAAAAAGAAAGGGCACUGUUAUCCUGGUGAGAUACUUCAGGUUAUAACAUGAUAAUCCAGAGUUCUGGAAGGAAAAGAAAAAAACAACCAAACCCCUCGAUAAAGCUAAGGAAUUAUAGUUUUUAAAACUGUUACUCAUUACAUACAACAGAUGUGUUUUACAUAAUUCUGUACAAAAUAAGUGUAAUUCUUUAAUCUGAAAAUGUGUCAGUUUCAAAAUUAACCUUUCCUGGUAAUUUCCUUAAAGUUGAGCUCAAUUCUAUACAUAUUUAAACAUUAUGACAGAAUUUAAUUCACUUGUGAUCAUUAUCCAGUUGUCUGCCAGUUCUGCAGUUUUAGUAUGGUCCAAAAAUGUAACAUCUGUAUGGUCUCAAUGCAUCGAACCAACACACGGUUGUAAGCACAGAACAGUACAUGUACAUCAUACAGACACGUGUACACGCCAGGUACUUAAUUUCUUUCUACUCCUAAUUUUUAUGACCUUGUUCUUCUUUCAGGGUAGAAAUUGAUAGCACAAUAUUACCUUCCCUCUCUAAAAUGUAUAAUUUGCAUUUGAAGUGAAUUUCCUGAUGUAUUUAUCUGCAUUAAAAAGGAUUCAAAUGACUACUUGUCUCGCUACCUCACCCCUAAAAGCUAAAUGGUGGGAAUAGCACUGAUCUCCUUGAUCUGCAAUUUAAGAAGCCUU